AAUACAAUACAAUAUACCAAACGCACCCUUAAAACACUGGUGCAAUGACUUAUUUUGAGAAACAUGAAAUAGGGGCUUUAAGAGGGGAUUAGAGGGGCGCGAAUAACUCUUCCAAUCAAUGACAAAACUGGCUGAGAUAUUUGGGCUUAUGUGCGUCCAGGUCAAUUUUUAUAUACUGAGCUGAGUCAGAAUUGCUGGUGGCACCGCCCGAAAGUACUCGUGAAACCCUUUUGGUAUUUAUUUAUUUAUUUUCUUCUCUGUUGGUAUUUAUGUCACCUAUUUCUUUUGAACCAUAAUAAUGUUUUUGCUUUUAUAAAUGUAAGUAUAAAAGUUUAAAGUACUAGAUGAAUAAAUUGUGCAC
rnacentral:lncRNA from 1 species